rnacentral:rRNA from 2 species
GAGUGAUCGAAAGAUGAAAAGCACUUUGAAAAGAGAGUCAAACAGCACGUGAAAUUGUUGAAAGGGAAGCGUUGGCCCCCAGACGCGCCCGGGAGGGCUCAGCCGGCACGUGUGCCGGUGUACUCUCUCCCGGGCGGGCCAGCAUCGGUUUGGGCGGUCGCUGAAAGGCCCCGGGAAUGUAGCACCCUCCGGGGUGCCUUAUAGCCCGGGGCGGCAUGCGGCCCGCCGGGACCGAGGCCCGCGYUCGGCG